AGUGGCGGACGGGUGAGUAACACGUAGGUAACCUACCCUCGAGUGGGGAACAACUCAGGGAAACUUGAGCUAAUACCGCAUAAGACCACGGACUGGGAUGUUUGUGGUAAAAGGAGCAAUCUGCUUGGGGAUGGGCCUGCGGCCUAUCAGGUAGUUGGUGGGGUAACGGCUCACCAAGCCAAAGACGGGUAGCCGGACUGAGAGGUCGGACGGCCACACUGGGACUGAGACACGGCCCAGACUCCUACGGGAGGCAGCAGUGGGGAAUCUUGCGCAAUGGGCGAAAGCCUGACGCAGCGACGCCGCGUGGAGGAUGAAGGCCUUCGGGUUGUAAACUCUUUUUCUUAGGGAAAAUGAUGAUGGUACCUAAGGAAUAAGCCACGGCUAACUCUGUGCCAGCAGCCGCGGUAAGACAGAGGUGGCGAGCGUUGUUCGGAAUUACUG
rnacentral:rRNA from 1 species